rnacentral:rRNA from 1 species
GACGAACGCUGGCGGCGUGCUUAACACAUGCAAGUCGAACGGAAAGGCCCUGCUUUUGUGGGGUGCUCGAGUGGCGAACGGGUGAGUAACACGUGAGUAACCUGCCCUUGACUUUGGGAUAACUUCAGGAAACUGGGGCUAAUACCGUAUAGGAGCUCCUGCUGCAUGGUGGGGGUUGGAAAGUUUCGGCGGUUGGGGAUGGACUCGCGGCUUAUCAGCUUGUUGGUGGGGUAGUGGCUUACCAAGGCUUUGACGGGUAGCCGGCCUGAGCGGGUGACCGGCCACAUUGGGACUGAGAUACGGCCCAGACUCCUACGGGAGGCAGCAGUGGGGAAUAUUGCACAAUGGGCGGAAGCCUGAUGCAGCAACGCCGCGUGCGGGAUGACGGCCUUCGGGUUGUAAACCGCUUUCGCCUGUGACGAAGCGUGAGUGACGGUAAUGGGUAAAGAAGCACCGGCUAACUACGUG